GGCUUCGUGGCUUAGUUGGUUAAAGCGCCUGUCUAGUAAACAGGAGAUCCUGGGUUCGACUCCCAGCGAGGCCU
rnacentral:tRNA from 1 species